rnacentral:rRNA from 1 species
AGAGUUUGAUCCUGGCUCAGAUUGAACGCUGGCGGCACGCUUAACACAUGCAAGUCGGACGGCAGCACGGUGGUGGGUAAAACCACCAUGGGUGGCGAGUGGCGGACGGGUGAGUAUAACGUAGGGAUCUGUCCUUAAGAGGGGGAUAACCCGAGGAAACUUGGGCUAAUACCGCAUAAAGACUCUGAGGAGGAAAGCCU